rnacentral:rRNA from 1 species
GAUGAACGCUGGCGGCGUGCCUAAUACAUGCAAGUCGAGCGAACAGACGAGGAGCUUGCUCCUCUUACGUUAGCGGCGGACGGGUGAGUAACACGUGGAUAACCUACCUAUAAGACUGGGAUAACUUCGGGAAACCGGAGCUAAUACCGGAUAAUAUAUUUAACCGCAGGGUUCAAUAGUGAAAGACGGUUUUGCUGUCACUUAUAGAUGGAUCCGCGCCGCAUUAGCUAGUUGGUAAGGUAACGGCUUACCAAGGCAACGAUGCGUAGCCGACCUGAGAGGGUGACCGGCCACACUGGAACUGAGAAACGGUCCAGACUCCUACGGGAGGCAGAAGUAGGGAAUCUUCCGCAAUGGGCGAAAGCCUGCCGGAGCAACGCCGCGUGAGUGAUGAAGGUCUUCGGAUCGUAAACCUCUGUUAUUAGGGAAGAACAAAUGUGUAAGUAACUAUGCACGUCUUGACGGUACCUAAUCAGAAAGCCACGGCUAACUACGUG